rnacentral:lncRNA from 1 species
CUUCCUUGACAUUACUAUCACACGAACUAAUGGUCACUUUGAAACCUCUGUUUAUCGUAAACCUACAUUCACAGGGCUUUUAACUAAUUUCCAUAGCUUCACUCCUCUACAAUUUAAACGUGGUUUAAUAUAUUCACUAUUACACCGCUUUUUCAAUAUUUGCUCUAACUAUGAGAAUUUCCAUGCUCAGAUUGAGUUUUAUAGAAAAGUCCUCAACCAGAACGGUUAUCCUACUCGUUUUUUCGAUCGUUGUGUUCGACUCUUUCUUGAUAAAACCUUUCAACCCAAGGAAUUAAUCCAUUCUGUAUCUAAGAAAGUGGUAUACUUUUGUCUUCCAUAUACCGGAACACACUCUCUCCAAAUCCGUACCCAAAUUCAACGCCUUUGCUCUGUAGCCUUCCCACAUAUAAACAUCAGAAUCGUUUUUCGUCCCACUCUACGUUUGUCCAAUUUCUUCAUGUUUAAGGACAAAAUUGCCGAUGCUUUGAGGUCUUGUGUAGUUUAUUCUUUUAAGUGUCGAUGCUGUUCCGCGUCGUAUGUGGGCCAAACGGUCCGCCAUCUACAUACACGAGUCUCUGAACACCUGGGUAUUUCCGCCUUAACUGGUAAGACGAGUAGCAGUCCUCAACUGACGAGCGUCUUUUCCCAUCUGAGCCACUCAGAUCAUACUGCUUCUCUUUAUGAUUUUAAGAUCCUAUCAUCAUGUUCCUCUCCAGAUGAACUUCUCGUCCGUGAAAGUCUUCUCAUCUCAAAGCUCAAACCUACUUUAAAUCAGCAAGGUAGCUCCAUUCCUCUCUCACUCCUCUGACUUCUCUCCUUUAACACCCCCCGCCCUCAUCCCAUUAUUAAUAACUGGUCUCUAAAAUAUAUGCCACUACACGGAACCUAUCAAUUGAAAGUUAAAACGAAUGGAUUUCAAGAUGUUGACAAGAAACGGAGCAAACAAUACUCUACCGGGUAUAACGCACUACGUAAUAUAUACCAGAUGUGAAGCACGCUGACCGAAAGCCGCGGGCGUGUGUGGUAGGCUAAUAUCCGAAAGGAUAUUUAUACUACCCACGCAAUCAACAACGUAUGCAUCUUGGUAGCUACCACGGAAAGAUUUUGUUCCACCGGCAAGGAAACAAAAUGCCCUAAUUUUCAGUGUAACUGGUAAAUUCAACCUAACCGGUAAAUUCAAAGUUCUUUCAAGAGUUUCUGCAGGUCGGUUUUAUUGCGGUUUCGAAAUACCAGGUGAAUUAUUGAGACUUGCGUGUUAUUACUAAGCACUGAUUUACUCAGACCUCGACAAAACAGCAUGUUUUGCGCCCCCUUGAUCGUCGUUGUUACCCUGGGCUGCAACAACGGCGGUCAAGGGGGCAACAAAACCCGCUGCUUUCCUCGGUCCCGGUAGAUAAUUAAGUGAUCAAUAUACCACGCGAAAGUGCAACAUGAUUGACAGAAGUGAAAAACUGGCGUGUUUGCUAAUGUCAUGAAGAAAUACGGGUUGAAUCACAGCAAUCCCAUGCAGGCUUUGUUUAUGCCGAAUAAUAAUAGCGUUUAUACGAGACCUGCAUGAUCGUAGGAAAGGUAAGUGAAAUUUACUAUAUGUAAAGUACAAUUCUAUCAUGGUAAUUAUAUUCUUUGAUGUUUUGAACCUCGGGCAGCACAAAACAUGCUUGCAUUUCCUGUUUGCAUUCUCUCUUUUAACACGGAAAGCAGGGCUCGAGCAGGCCAGUUGAAUUUCAGAGCGGGUCGGAUGAGAAAUAUCUAUCUACACAGGACUCUAACAGAUUCUUCAGCCGAACAGAUUGCUUUAUAUUCACAGCUUAAAAUUAGUAGCGUUAGUGGGGUCCUUGCAGCUGUCAUGUUCCCCAUUUCCUGGACAAUCAAAACAGGUCAUAACCCUGUUCCAUCUAAGCAGAUGGGUUGUUUUUGCCGUCAUGACAACGUUUCACACGUCAUGCUUGCCGGGUAACUUGACUCCUAUGCUGUUUCUAAAACCUACCCAAAACGGAUCGCCUCCAAGAUCGCUCUCUGCAAUUGCAAAUAGGCCAUACUGUAAAGAGCCUAAGAAUGCUGCUAUUAAAAAACCAACGCCAUAUAAUGUUCCAAAAUGUAAUAUUGAAAAUCUAAAUCAAUGAAAAUAACAAAAAUCAGAAAUCAUUUAGCGAUUACAAAUCAUUUCCGCGAUUUGGGACACGCUUGGAAGGUAGAGGGUUGAUAAUGAAGACAAUAUACCGUAUAAAUUUAAAACCUUUUUACCAUUUUUGCACGGAAGAUAUAUUUUACUUUUACAUAAUUUUCUGUGCAUGUACGUUUAAUUAUUUGUGUGCAUGUGCGUUUACUUGUUUGUGUGCAUGUGCAUUUAAUUAUUUGUGUGCAAGAACGCUUAAUUGUUUAUGUGCAUGUGCGUUGAACUAUUUGUGUGCAUGUGCUUGUUUUUGUUUGUUUUGUUUGUUUUUGUUUGUUUUUGUUAGUCUUUUUGGUUUUUAUUUUGUUUGUUUUUGUUUGUUUGUUUUUGUUUGUUUUUGUUUUUGCUUGUUUUCGUAUGUUUCUGUUUGUUUCUGUUUGUUUCUGUUUGUUUUUGUUUGUUUUUGGUUGUUUUUGGUUGUCAUUGUUUGUUUUUGUUUGUUUGUUUGUUUGUUUGUUUGUGUUUGUUUGUGUUUGUUUGUGUUUGUUUGUUUGUUUUUGUUUGUUUUUGUUUGUUUUUGUUUGUUUUUGUUUGUUUCUGUUUGUUUGUUUUUGUUUGUUUUUGUUUGUUUUUAUUUGUUUUUGUUUGUUUGUUUUUGUUUGUUUGUUCUUGUUUGUUUUUGUUUGUAUUUGUUUGUUUUCGUUUGUUUGUUUUUGUUUGUUUUUGUUUGUUUGUUUUUGUUUGUUUUUUUUGUUUGUUUUUUUGUUUUUGUUUAUUUUUGUUUGUUUUAGUUUGUUUUAGUUUGUUUGUUUGUUUUUGUUUGUUUGUUUUUGUUUGUUUUUGUUUGUUUUUGUUUCUUUCUGUUUGUUUCUGUUUCUUUUUGUUUCUUUCUGUUUCUUUUUGUUUAUUUGUGUUUCUAUUUGUUUCUAUUUGUUUCUAUUUGUUUCUUUUUGUUUCUUUUUGUUUCUUUUUGUUUGUCUGCUUGUUUUUGUUUGUUUGUUUGCUUCGGUUUGUUUUUGUUUGUUUGUUUUUGUUUGUUUGCCUGGUUUGUUCUUGUUUUUUUUUUGUUUUUGUUUGUUUUUAUUUGUUUUUGUUUGUUUGUUUUCGCGGUAUUUUGUUGGUUUUUUUGUUGUUGUUUGUUUGUUUUCGUUUGUUUUUGUUUGUUUAUGUUUGUUUGUUUUUGUCUGUUUUUGUUUGUUUUUUUGUUUGUUUUUGUUUGUUUUUGUUUGUUUUUGUUUGUUUCUGUUUCUUUCUGUUUCUUUUUGUUUGUUUUUGUUUGUUUCUGUUUGUUUCUGUUUCUAUUUGUUUCUUUUUGUUUGUCUGUUUGUUUGUCUGUUUGUUUGUCUGUUUGUUUUUUUUUUUUUUUGUUUGUUUGCUUCGGUUUGUUUUUGUUUGUUUGUUUUUGUUUGUUUGCUUCGGUUUGUUUUUGUUUUUUUGUUUUUGUUUGUUUUUAUUUGAUUUUGUUUGCUUGUUUUCGCGGUUUUUUGUUGAUUUUUUGUUGUGGUUUGUUUGUUUUCGUUUGUUUUUUUUUUUUUUUUUUUUUUUUUUUUUUUUUUUUUUUUUUUUUUUUUUUUUUUUUUUUUUUUUUUUUUUUUUU